rnacentral:rRNA from 1 species
GGUGAACGCUGGCGGCGUGCCUAAGACAUGCAAGUCGAGCGGGCCGCGGGGUUUUACUCCGUGGUCAGCGGCGGACGGGUGAGUAACGCGUGGGUGACCUACCCGGAAGAGGGGGACAACCCGGGGAAACUCGGGCUAAUCCCCCAUGUGGACCCGCCCCUUGGGGUGUGUCCAAAGGGCUUUGCCCGCUUCCGGGUGGGCCCGCGUCCCAUCAGCUAGUUGGUGGGGUAAUGGCCCACCAAGGCGCCGACGGGUAGCCGGCCUGCGAGGGUGGGCGGCCGACGGGGCACUGUGGGACGGGGCCCACUCCCACGGGAGGCAGCAGUGAGGAAGCUUCCGCAAUGGGCGCAAGCCUGACGGAGCGACGCCGCUUGGAGGAAGAAGGCCUGCGGGGUGUAAACUCCUGAACCCGGGACGAAACCCCCGACGAGGGGACGGACGGUACCGGGGUAAUAGCGCCGGCCAACUCCGUG